UUUUCUUGUACAGUUCUACAGCAGCUGCAUGAGCAAGUAAUAGAUUAUGUGUGACUAUAUAAGGUUCUGUUCCUGAAUCACCACCGAGACAACUUGAAUCUUGCCAAUCAGAACAUCGACCAGGUGCAAAAUCCCCAACUGCAUAACCUUCUCUACUAUAAGUGUAUGGCUCAUUCAAAGUAAUCCAAUUUUUCACCUUAUCUCCAAAGUAUUUGAAACAAAUAUUUGCAUAAUCUCGAUAAUCAUCUCUGAAAAUUAAAAAUACAAACAAAAUCAUUUCUUAAACUGACAAUUUAAAUAAAAAUUUAGGAGAUUAAAAAAACAUGAGGAAUUCGUAUAGAAAAUAAGAUUGGUAUAACUUACACAAUGCGAUGAGAUAAGAAACCUCCAUACUCUUCUUGUAAAGCUUGAGGAGUAUCCCAAUGAAAGAGUGUGACAUAUGGUUCUAUAUCUGCAACGUCAAUAUUUUUAAAACAUUAUUAUUGUCAUUUACUUCAAAAAUAUUUUAAAAAUUUAUUUUUAAUUAAGAAAAAACAAUAUAGUAAAGCAUGGAUAUUUACUCUGGGCUAUUAAUUCAUCGAUGAGGUCCAUGUAGUGUUGGAUUCCUUCUUGGUUUACACCCUCCUCGUUUAUACCCACAUGUCCAUCUAUAUAUAUCAAUAAUUUUUUUACAAAGAUUAAAAUCAUGGCAAACCUAACUAUAAUAAAUAAUACAAACACUAAUUUUUUAUCAACUUUUAUCUCACUUGGCACGAUUCUAGACCAUGACAUGGAGAAUCUAUAUGCAUCCAGAUUCAUAUGCUUCAUUAUCUGAACAUCUUCCUGUUGUAUAAAUAGAAAACGAAAUCGAAAAUAUUUAAUUAAUUAUUUCGAAUGAGAAAGAUAAUUAGCUUUUCAUUAAUCAAGAUUUUGAACUUUACCACGUAACGAUGAUAUUCAUCAACUGCUACAUCCCCAUUGCUUCUAUCGUUUAUCUUCUCUGCAAGUUAGGACACAUUUAUAAUCAAACUAUUAUCUGGUGUUUUUCUUGAGUUUCAAAUAUAUAAGAUAAUUUCUAAAAACCUCAGAAACAAGUAUUUUUCUAAAGUAUAAGAAAUAAUUUAUAAUUGUUUUAUUUCAAUGAGAAUUUUGUUAUUUCUUUUAGUUUUUCUUAGUUCUUCACGUUCUUUUAUACUCGAGUAAAAUUAGAUAUUCACAACCAACAAGUAAAAUAGAAAUAAAACAAAAACAGAGAAAUAGAAAAAAAAAAACCUGGAUAUUUAUGGGUGAAGUUAUCCCAUACACUUGGUUUUCUUCCAUAAUCAAAUGCUGCUCCUUCGAACUGUUGGUACAUAUUAUAAGCAUAACAAAAUCAUGUGAGUUCAGGUUGAAAUCUCAAAGUUUAACUUCUCUUAAGGAUAAGAAAAGUGAUGUGAUGUUUUAUUUAUAUAUUUAGAAACAUUUGCUUUGUGUGUGAUAAGUAGAAUAAACUGCAAUAAAAGCAUAUAAUGUAUAUGUUUUACUCAGUUAAUCUUAUUAUGGACAACUUGUAGAUGGUGUUAGUUAGCGAGAUAUGGAGGCACAAGAAUAAUUGUUUAGUUAAAGGUGGAGUGGUUAUCAUACUGAAAUUUUCUCUCUGACAUAUAUUAAGGUUUGGUCAUAGAUCUCAUCAAAGAUACCUUAAUUUCUCAUUAUCGGAUUGUUGUCCUGACCCCUUGGUAUGUACGCAUUCAGUUUAGUUUUAUGUAAAAUGUUGAUUCUUGGAUUUCUUUUAUUAUUGUUUGAGAUGGGAUAGAGAGUAGGAGAUCUUUUGGUUGAUAUGUAGACGGAAAGGUUCUUUGAGAAAAUUUAUUUUGUUGUAUAAGGGUUGGAACACACCUGAAGUGGUCUCAUUUAAUUUCAUUGCUAUUUGCUGAUAAAAAAAAAUAAUAUGUUUUACUCGGUAUUACGUACCUGGUAAGCAGCAGAUGCUGUCCCGAAAAUGAAGUCAUCUGGAAAACUGCUUCGAUUGAGUGAAAGAGCAUCCUCAAGCGAUGCAGGAUAUUCACUAUUAUUUGGUGGUGAUGUGGUAACUGCUACAGGACCUAAGAGAAGAAACUCGUUACAUGAUGCAUGUUUAUAAGACUCUGGUUCUGCUUAAUGCAGUAGUGACACAGUGCAAAAUAGGGUGUAAAACACUAUUUCAUGUUUGAUUUAUGAUCUGCGUCCAAACUGAAUGUACUUGAACAACAACAACAAGAAUUUGAAGCCAUUCACACGUAAAAAGAAACAUGAAAAUAAUCGAUUGCUUGAAGAAAUGAUGAAGGGUAAAAUACCAGCUUUCUCGAGAGAGAGUUGUGCAGCAGCAGCAUUAGCAGGUGAGACCUUGGCGACGGCGGCAGCACCACCGACGAAAGCAGUUCCGAGGGCUAAUCUGCGAGAGAGAAGGCUGAGGGUGGUGGCGUCACCGUCUUGGACAUCCUCCUUUUGUGCCAUGCAAAGAAUGUGGUUUCGUUGGGUGGUCCCCACAUCCCUCUGUGGCAAAACUCUAACAGGAGUGGUUAGGGCACGGAGCUGCAAGAAACCUUGUGUGUAGGCCAUUUCUCCUCAAAAUUCAAAAUGUUCACACUCUUUGCCCUCGCAAUCACCCACUAUAUAUAGAGUCUGUCACAUGCAACGGAAUCCUCUUUAGCUAUUAAAACUUGUCUUGCAUUGGAGAUAAAACUCUAUCAUGUUCGAGUCUCCACAUGUUCUCAUCAUUUAGGUUUUCAAAAUCCAAUUUAGAUCAAAUAUAAUUUAAUAAAAUGAUAUAAUUUAAUAAAAUGGAUUGGAUUUAAAAAUUCAUAUUAUUUUAACUAUAUCAAAUUUAUUUGGAUUUUUUAAAAUUCAUUUAAAAUAGAUUAAAUUUAUAUUGAAUCCACUUUGUUAAUAUAUAAGAUUAAAUUCAUCUUGAUUUGGACACGGACUCAAUUGGCUCGAUCUGGGUUUAGGCCGACUCGACAUAGAUCCGGAUCGACUCAGUUAAAUCUAGACCCGAAACGCGUUGGUUAGACUGAGACCCUAACAGACUCGGCUGGACCUGGAUCCGAGCCGACUACACUCGACUUAGUAUACGGUCGGCUUAGCUCGACCUGGACCCGAACUGACUUGACUCGAUAUGAGCUCGGACCGACUCAACUCCACAUUAGCCCAAGAGCGGACUAUGCUCAACUUGGGCUUGAGCAGUCUCGGCUCCACCUGGGCCCGUGACGACUCAGAUCGACAUGGACCCAAACCGACUUGUGCCCAAGUGGACUCGACUUUAAUAUGAAUUAGAUUGGAUUUUUUUAUCGAUCUUAAUUUAGUGGGUACUCUACAAGAAAAUCAUGAAAUAAAAACCAAUUUUAGAGAACAAAAAUAAUUAGUUGUUAUAACGACUAAAUUAGAAACCAUUUUAGUGACUAAAAGAAAUUUUGGUUUCUAAAUUAGUUUUUAUUAUUUUUGGUAGUUAAAACCUUGGUAGCUAAUUAGACUUUAAUUUAUAAAUUAUUUAGCUGUAAUAGAAAUUAAUUUAAAAAUAAAAUAAAAAAAUAGUUUUUAAAAUAGUCUUUAAUUUAUUUAUUAUAACAAUUAAUUAUUUUAUAUUUUUAAAAUUAAUUUCUAUUUGAUGAUGUUACCUUGUAUUAAUAUGUCUUUUAGGAACACGAUUUCAAUAUGAACAACUUCCAUUUUUUAUUUAUUUCGGAGUAGAAUCUCUUAUAUACAUGUUCAAGUCUACACACAUAUCUCAAAGUUUAGGUUUUCGCAUCGUUCACGUGGCUAUUCUUCAAAAUAUUACGAAUACGAAUAAAAUAAGUGUUUUAGGUGCACGAGUUCAUUAUGAUCUAUUUUGAUAAGUUUUAAUUUUUUAUUACGAAGUGAUAAGGGUGAUGAUUAUAAAAUAGAAAUCAUUUUUAUUAAGACAGUUUUAAUUUUUCUGAAAUAGAAGUCUUCAUAUAUGACAACUUUCAUAGUGUAUGUGAAGAUUUCCUUUUUUUUUUUAAUGGAAGUCUCUAUGCAUGUAAUUUAUUUUCUUUUUAUAUAUAAUUUUUAUUUGUUAUGUAAACUUAAACUUAAAAACAGAGAAGUGAUAAAUCUUUCCAUAAUAACGUCUUUCUUUUCUUACUAGUCUCAAAGCCAAACAAGAACAUCUAAAUUUCACAUGGAAGUUAAAAGUUAUAUUUAACGGAAAUAAAUUAAAAUUUUGAAUUGAAGGGUAUGAUAAAAUUUUGAAUUUAAGUAUUUUAGUUUAUCUUAGGGAUAGAUUUAAUAUAUUAUCCGUAAGUUGGUUCGUUUCAAGAUAUGCACCGACAGAUUUUAGUAUGUAUUUAUGGUUGAUUCUCUGUUUAUUUUUUGUCCUUUUUAACGAAGCCAAACCCACCAAACUAUUCCAUCCAGAAUAUGUCCGUAAUGGCCAAACUGCCCCUAACUCAACCAACUACUUUAUAAAUUUUAUUCAAAAUAAAAACUACUUUAAAUACUAAUAACUAUUUUUUGUCUCUAAAAUAUUCUUUAAUUUAGUCAAAAUAGUAUCUAAUUAUUUUUUGUCUUUAAAAUUAAUUUUUAUUUAAUGAUUUUCUUGUAGUUGUGAUAAUGGUAAUCCUGUCCACUCUUUUAUCUAGUAACAAGUAUAUCUCAUCCUUAAGAAAUGUCAUUUUCUGGAAACUAGUGUUCAAUAAGUUUAGGGAAGAUGAACUUCAAUCUCUAUUUUUCCAAUUGAAACAACAAACUCUUUGACUUAUUUUCUUAUUAAUCAUUGUCAUCAUAACAACUCUCAACCAACUUGUAUGAUUUUGUUUUAUAUUUAGUAAAUCUUUUACUUAAUUAUUCAAAUGUUCCUUGUGCAUUCGAGACCCGAGGAACAAAUUAUUAUUUUUGACAACGUGGUACACUUGUCGUAAAAAAGUCAUCAACUACCCACGCUUAAAUGACGAUUUGUCACUUUUGUGUCUACUUUUGGUCGACUCUAAUAUUUACUUUUUUUGUAGUGUAAGGUACGACGAGUGAAGAGCUAAAAAGUAAAGAAAUAAUAGUAAAGAAUUUAGAUGGUGGAAGGAUAUCAAAGCAAGCUACAAAAUUAAGAAUCCAAAUGGGUGUAAUGAUAACAUUUCUUGGGUAGUAGGAAAUGGGAAAAACAUAAAAUUUUGAAAAGAUAGAUGGUUAGGGAAUACGACACUCAAAGAAAAAAUACCAAGAAUACUUCUAAAUGCAAUAGAAAAAUCUAUAACGGUAGUUAAAACAGGAUUUUGGGAGAAUGACAUUUGGAUUUUGCAUAUUACUUGGAAGAGAGAGUAAUUUGAAUGGAAAAAAUCGAUCAUCAAUAAAAUGAUGGACGACUUAAUGGGGGUUCACAUAAUUGUAAACAUAGUAGAAAAUGGAUAUCCUGUGUGUAAACAGUUUUUUUAUUGUGACUUUAUUUUAUACUGCAUUAACAGUUUUUUUAUCAGAAAAAAUAAACAGUGUUAAACUCGUGUACCAAUACAUUAAAAAGAAAUCAAUAUUACCUCUUUAUUCAUAUGAUAAUUUAUACUCCUCUAUAUUUAAAAUUAAUUUAUCUUUUCACUUUUUAAUAAAUGUUGAUUUAUUUCAUCCUAUUGUAUCCUCAAACUAUUUAUUCUUCAUAUUAAAAUAUUGCAUAUAUUAAAAAAACAAGAAUAUUUUAAUCAAAUUGUUUUAAAAAAUAAAUAACCUAUCAUUUUUUAAAUUGAUAUAAUAUAUAAAAAAAGGUGUGGAUCUCAUCCAAUCCAAGCUCAUGGGACAGGGCUAGACAUCGUACAUUUGCCAUUUUAAAUGUGCCACCUCACUUAAAAAUUAAAUAAUUGUUUUUAAAAUAAAAGUAAUAAUUUUAUUAUUUUUAGAAUUUGUGAGAUAUUAUUUUUUAAAUAAAAACUUUCAUGUUAUAUCACUAUACAACUUGUUGAUUUUCCUUUAAUUUUCUACUUUUUACAUUUUUUUUAUUAUCCGAGUAAAAUUGGAUAUUCAAAAGUAACAAGUAAAGGGAAUUCCAAUGAGAGAAAGUUUUUCGUUUUGUGAGAAAAACAUGGACUUUUUUUAAUAUGAAAUAGCGAGACAGACACAUAAUUACUUAACCAUGAAUAACAAAAAAUAUAUUUUUAAUUCAUGAUUAAAAAUUUUGUAGAUAUUAUUACAUAAAAUUUCUAAAAUAGAAUAGAUAUCUUAUUCAAAUAAACAAUAUUAUUAUAUUUAUAUUAACACAAACAAUUUCACGUACGCUUAAUCAACUCAAUUAUUACUGCUUUAGCAUUAUAUUAUUUUUCCUUUAUAUAAAGUCUCAACCAGUGUGUAAAAUAAUUAGGAAUAUAUAAAUAAACUUUUUUUUAGGAUUGGAAGGAAAGGAGAAAGAUUAAUUGGGUAAGCUGGAUAAUUUAUGCCAACAAAAAUAAGAGGGUGCGUCAGAAAUAAAAGAUAUAAAAUUGUUUAAUAAAAUCAGUGAAGAAUGGGGUCACAAAUAAAUAAAAGAUAUAAAACUGUUUAAUAAAAUCAGUGAAGAAUGAGGUCGAGAAAUAAGGGUUAAUGAAAAGAUAGCUUAAAUGAAAAUAUUAGAAAAUAUUAUACAUCUAGGUGGUAGAAAGAUUUAAAUGAAAAGUUUGUUGAAUUAAGUUUUAGGAAAAAUUAUGGGUUUAAACACAUGUUUCCUACGGUAUACAAGAAUUCAAUAAUUAGCAAUGAAUCACACAUGUGAACUAAUGUGAAAAUUUUAGAAUAAUCAGUCAUUCCACAUUUAAUAAUGAACUUAUUCUUAUAUCUCCAAAUCUCACCAGAAAUCCAAACACGUUUUCAAACAACAACGUUGACGUGAGUGACAAUAUUGGAAAUUUUGAAAUGCAAAAAAGUGUGGAAUAGAGUCGUGGUGAUCAAGUGACAUCAACUCUAACCAAGCAUAAUACUGGUUCCAAACUAGUCAAGCAGUUCUACAAACAAAAAAUAAAUGUCUUGUUGUCUCCACUUCCACCCCGCAAAGACAACAUAAAUUGCUAACAACUGCAACCUCACAUCUUUCCAAAUUAUCCUUAGACGCAAUCGAAUUUACCAGCACCCUCCAAGCUGUGAAUUAAGUUGGGGACAUGACCUUAAUCAUCCACAAGAAUUCAAACAAAGACGAGUUUUCCCCUCAAAAGAACCCCUUAAAAAUACUAUAAGCUGAUUUUAUCGAGUACCCACCAAUCUUGUCGUUCUUCCAAACCCAACUAUCAACGAUUUCCGAUACUAGAUUUGUUCCUUGCACCACCUUAAGAAGUUUACCUUCCAAUACCUUCUCCCAUUCUAAUAGACCCCUUCUCUAAGCAAACUUCCAUUCCCAACUACAAUUAAGCCACUCCCCAAAAGAACCUAAAUUCACAUCUUUAUUGAUACACAAGGAGAACAACCUCGAAAAUUUACUCUUCAAAUCUAUAUUACCUACCUAGAUAUCUUCACAGAAUUUAACUUUCUUCCCGUUUCUAACACCCCACUUAAGGCGGUUCUCGAAGUUCAUACCUCACUCCUCCAACCCCCAAACCUCCUUCAGAUCCUUCUGAUGGGAAAAAACGAACGCAGAAGCAACACACUCAAUCACGAAUCAACUACAGAAAAAUAAACGACACAAGAUUUAACAUGGUUCGGUCGCCAACUGCAACCUACAUCCACACGGGUAACUAUUACGUUUUCAUUAUGUCCUGUCGCACACCAAUUACAAGUAAAAUGAUUUCUUUAAAUAGAGAUUAUAAAAGGGACACAAUGAUUAAGCCCACUCACUAAACAUGUGUCUAGUCAGCCCAACCCAAUUGGUCAUGGCUUCAUACCUAACAAUCUUCCACUUGAAGUCACGGAACAAUGUUCACCUGCACUUCAACUGUGUAUAAUGAUUGAGCUCACUCACUAAACAUGGUGUCUAGUCAGCCCAACCCAAUUGGUCUUGACUUCAUACCCAACACUUUCCACCAGAGAGACUUCUUGUGAUAUUUCCUCUGAUCUUUCAGGCUUCUCCAUCCUCCAUACUCAGACUCAAUAAUCUCUUUCCACAAACCACGAUUGUCAGAACUCAAGCGUCAUAUCCAUUUUCCCAACAAGGCCACAUUGAAUAACCUACCUAAGAUCCAAGAUACCAAGUCCACCAACUUUUCUUGACUCACAAACCUUUUUCUAAGAAACCUAAACGAUCUUUCUCCCUUUCAAACCCUAACCCCAGAGGAAGUUUCUCUGUAGUUUCACAAUCUCCUUCAACACAAAAGUAGGAACUUUAUACAGAGAAAGUAAAACAAUGAUAUAAAUGAAAGAACCGUGCAAAGAGGCAGUAAUUUGUUAAAAGCUAUUUCAUUAAUAAAAAGUUCAAUAACACACUUUAUUGAAAUUGAUUAUAAAUAGGAAACAUUGCAUUACAGAGUCUCUUCAUAGUCUUGCAACAUAUGCGUGUUACAAUGCUAUUAUCCUUGGAGUUCUAAUGGUCUUUCAAGAAAUUUCUUGAACCAUUUUGCUGAGAGUUUGUCAUAUCGCUUCAAAUCAUCGUUUCUGUCCACAUAAUUUAGUCCAAAUCUUACUGUAUAACCAUUCUUCCAUUCAAAAUUGUCCAAUAGUGACCAUGCAAAAUAUCCUUUUACAUUUACUCCCUCACUAGUUAACCAAAGAAAUUCAAAUUAGACUUAAAAUUAAUUUUUAAAAUAUGCAAAAAAAAAUUAAUUUUUAAAAUAUGCAAAAAGUAAAUCAUUACCUCAUUGCUGAAAGCAGAUAAUAGAGAUGACGAUAGUAAUAAUCGAUCCUAAAAAUAUCCAUACGAGCUUCUUCAGGGGUCUUUGUUUCAUCAUUCACGUCAUUUCCUCUACCUAUAAAUUAAAAGCAAUGCACAUCAAUAUGAUAUAAAAGAAAAACUACAUGUAAAAUUACAUAUACUUUAUAUUUCAAAGAUAAUAAAAUUUGUUUUUUUAGAAUUACCAUUUUCGGUUAUGUAAAUCAAAGGAUCUUCGUACUUUUCUUUGAGAUAGAGCAAAACAUUUUUAAAUCCUUUGGGAUAAACAUAUAACCAAUCAGAUGCAGUCUGCAAUAUAAAUAGGAAGUUACAUAAAACCAAAUAAAAUAAUAAUAAUAAUAAUAAUAAUCUGAACUUAAAAUUUGACAUUGUUUUAUACAUACCGGUGCACCUAUCGGAACACCAUUGCGUUGAGCUAGCCAAUGAAAACAAAAGCAAAAUGUGAUAUAUUAACAAAUUCAACAUAUAAAUAAUUGAAAUAAUUAAUAAAUAGAGGUUUUCUCACUUAGAAAAUUGACAUUGGAAUCCGUAAGAUAACUAGGUUGGAUUUUGGAUUCAGGUCUAGGUUCAUCUCUGGGUCGAUCAGCAACAUAGUUAGCAGUGUAAUAGUUUAAUCCAAUAAAAUCAUAUGACUUAGUAAGAAGUGCUGCUUCAUCUGCAGUGAAUUCUGGCAAUCGUUUUCCAACUAAGGUACGCAUGCUUUCUGGAUAUCUUCCUGUUGUCAAUGGUUCCAUGAACCUAUUAUCAUUGUUACAAAUCAGAAUAUCAGAUUUUAGUUUUGUUGUGUUCUUCUAACUAUGUAUACUCUUUUCUUUUCAGUAGUUCAAUAUUUGUUAAUCACUUACCAUCCCAGCAUGAAAUCAAAUGCUCGUUGAGCAGCAUUUAUAUCUGCUGGAGCAUCUGAAUAUGGCUCAAACCACGUAGAAAGAAGUGUUAUGCCUAUCUUUCUGUCAGGACUUGUCUGCAUAAAGGGUUUUAAACUUCAAAUUAAGUAAAAAGAAAACUACACCAAAGUUCUUGAGUCCUCGUAACAACGUAGAAAUCUAAUAAAACAUGAAGAUUUAAAAUUUUUGGUAAAGACUAAAGAAUAACCUGAUAAUUUCUCUUGUACACAUCUACAGCAGCUGCAUGAGCAAGUAAUAGAUUAUGUGUGACUAUAUAAGGUUCUGUUCCUGAAUCACCACCGAGACAACUUGAAUCUUGCCAAUCAGAACAUCGACCAG
rnacentral:lncRNA from 1 species